rnacentral:misc_RNA from 1 species
UUAUGUCAUUAAAUUUUGACUCAGACGUCACCGAUACGUGGAGUUUCGGGGGUCUCUGACGGGCGCUCGCCAGCCGAACGGCCAGCGGUGGCAGCGAGGCCACGGCCCGCCAAAGCAACAAAGGUAUGAUUCGCAAUGGGUGGGAGGUUGGUCCCCCGGGGUCACACCCGGGGGACGUUACUCGUUAAUGAUCCUUCCGCAGGUUCACCUACGGAAA